AAGCUAUAAUGACCUGAAGAGGGUCAGCCCCUUGUCCAUGUGGUACUUUGUUUUUCUGUUUUAAAAGAUGCAAGUUCAGGCUAUAUUCAAAUUACCGUUUAAAAAAAAAAAAAAACAACCCGCAGGCAAACACACACCGCCCAUUGUGAGGAGUCCUGCACGAAUAGGAAGCGGAGGGAGAAAGCAGUACGUGCAUACAGAAACGUAGCUACUGCUAGUCUUGCUCCACCAAUCUCUCAGCACCUGGUGACACACACACACACACACACACAGCUCAGUAACUGAAGGUGCCCCUGUUUGGUGGCCCAGGACAAAAGGCUGGCCUACAGAGAGAGAGAGAGAGAGCAAUUGUGGGGUUAGAAGUGAAGCAGAUUACAGCUACUUAUUUCAAUACCGCCAGAACCCACGAGAUUAUUAUGGCAAAUAAGGCAACGCAGCAGGGAUGUCUGGAAAGACACAGAACGGUAAAGAGGUGAGAGGUCAGUCCUCAUACAGCUCAAAGGGCACAGUGCAGCGGGUCAGCGUGGACAGG